CUACGGGGGGGCUCCAGUGAGGAAUAUUGCACAAUGGGGGAAACCCUGAUGCAGCAACGCCGCGUGGAGGAUGACGCAUUUCGGUGUGUAAACUCCUUUUAUAUGUCAAGAAAAUGACGGUAGCAUAUGAAUAAGCACCGGCUAACUCCGUGCCAGCAGCCGCGGUAAUACGGAGGGUGCAAGCGUUAUUCGGAAUCACUGGGCGUAAAGGGCGCGUAGGCGGGUUAUCAAGUCAGGUGUGAAAUCCUACAGCUUAACUGUAGAACUGCACUUGAAACUGGUAGCCUAGAGUAUGGGAGGGGCAGAUGGAAUUAGUGGUGUAGGGGUAAAAUCCGUAGAUAUCACUAGGAAUACCGAAAGCGAAGGCGAUCUGCUGGAACAUUACUGACGCUAAGGCGUGAAAGCGUGGGGAGCAAACAGGAUUAGAUACCCUCGUAGUC
rnacentral:rRNA from 1 species